GAUGAACGCUGGCGGCGUGCCUAAUACAUGCAAGUAGAACGCUGAAGGAAGGAGCUUGCUCUUUCCGGAUGAGUUGCGAACGGGUGAGUAACGCGUAGGUAACCUGCCUGGUAGCGGGGGAUAACUAUUGGAAACGAUAGCUAAUACCGCAUAACAGUAGAUGUUGCAUGAUAUCUACUUAAAAGGUGCAAUUGCACCACUACCAGAUGGACCUGCGUUGUAUUAGCUAGUUGGUGAGGUAACGGCUCACCAAGGCGACGAUACAUAGCCGACCUGAGAGGGUGAUCGGCCACACUGGGACUGAGACACGGCCCAGACUCCUACGGGAGGCAGCAGUAGGGGAACUUCGGCAAUGGACGGAAGGCUGACCGAGCAACGCCGCGUGGGGGAAGAAGGUUUUCGGAUCGUAAAGCUCUGUUGUAAGAGAAGAACGAGUGUGAGAGUGGAAAGUUCACACUGUGACGGUAUCUUACCAGAAAGGGACGGCUAACUACGUG
rnacentral:rRNA from 1 species